rnacentral:rRNA from 1 species
UACGGAGGAUCCAAGCGUUGUCCGGAAUUAUUGGGCGUAAAGAGCGCGUAGGCGGCUCGUUGCGUCGGCUGUGAAAACCCGCAGCUCAACUGUGGGCUUGCAGCUGAUACGGGCGGGCUGGGAUUCGGUAGGGGAGACUGGAAUUCCUGGUGUAGCGGUGAAAUGCGCAGAUAUCAGGAGGAACACCGGUGGCGAAGGCGGGUCUCUGGGCCGAUAUCGACGCUGAGGCGCGAAAGCCAGGGGAGCAAACGGG